rnacentral:lncRNA from 1 species
GCUGACUCUCUUCGGACUCGGCCCGCCUGCACCCAGGUGAAAUAAACAGCCUUAUUGCUCACACAAAGCCUGUUUGGUGGUCUCUUCACAUGGAUGUGAGUGAAAUUUGGUGCCGUGACUCAGAUCAGCGGACCUCCCUUGGGAAAUCAAUACCCUGUCCUCCUGCUCUUUGCUCUGUGAGAAAGAUCCACCUACAACCUCUGGUCCUCAGACCAACCAGCCCAAGGAACAUCUCACCAAUUUUAAAUCCGGAAGUUCAAGCUGCUAGAUGGACAGGUCAAAUGAAGAAACAGAUGCCUGACCACUACUAAGCUGUAACUGAUACUGCAGUUGAGAUACAAGAUGUGAAUCUAAAAGAAAUCACCUCGGAUGUCUAGCCCUGUCCUCAAAUAAUUUCAGCUCGGCUGUCUCAUGACUACAACCAUACAAGAAACCCCAACAGCCAACAUAUGGAAACAACCUAAAUGUCUGUCGACAGGUGAAUGAAUAAAGAAAAUGUGGUAUAUACAUACAGCAGAAUAUUGUUCAGUCUUAAAAAAGAAGGAAACCUUACAAUAUGCAGCAUCAUGAAUGAACAUGGAGGACAUUAUGCUAAAUGAAAUAAGCCAGUCACAGAAGGAACAGACACUGCCUGAUUCCAAUCGUAGGAGAUAACUAGUAUUGUCAAAUUUAUAAAAUUGACAAGAGAAUGGUAGUUGCUAGUGGGUGAGCAGAGGGGAAGAUGAGGAGUUAUUGUUGAAUGUGUAUAAAGUUUUAAUUAUGCAAGAUGAGUAAGUUCUAGCGAUCUAUUGUACAACCUUGUGCCUAUAGUUAACAAUGAUGUAUUGUGGAUGUAAAAAUUUGUUAAAGAGGAUACAUCUCAUAUUGUUUUCUUACCACAGUAAAAAAAAAAAGAAACAAAUAAACAAGAAUGUAUAUAGUAC